GACGUAGGGGCGCGAGCGUUGUCCGGAUUUAUUGGGCGUAAAGAGCUCGUAGGUGGUUUGUCGCGUUGUCCGUGAAAACUCACAACUCAAUUGUGGGCGUGCGGGCGAUACGGGCAGACUGGAGUACUGCAGGGGAGACUGGAAUUCCUGGUGUAGCGGUGGAAUGCGCAGAUAUCAGGAGGAACACCGGUGGCGAAGGCGGGUCUCUGGGCAGUAACUGACGCUGAGGAGCGAAAGCGUGGGGAGCGAACAGG
rnacentral:rRNA from 1 species